rnacentral:rRNA from 1 species
GGCGAGUGAAGCGGGAAGAGCUCAAAUUUGAAAUCUGGUAGCCUUCGGUUGCCCGAGUUGUAAUCUAGAGAAGUGUUUUCCGCGUUGGCCCAUGUACAAGUCCCUUGGAACAGGGCGUCAUAGAGGGUGAGAAUCCCGUCCUUGACAUGGACCCCCAAUGCUUUGUGAUACACUUUCAACGAGUCGAGUUGUUUGGGAAUGCAGCUCAAAAUGGGUGGUGAAUUCCAUCUAAAGCUAAAUAUUGGCGAGAGACCGAUAGCGAACAAGUACCGUGAGGGAAAGAUGAAAAGCACUUUGGAAAGAGAGUUAAACAGUACGUGAAAUUGUUGAAAGGGAAACGAUUGAAGUCAGUCAUGCUCUUUGGAUUAAGCCGUUCUGCGGUGUAUUUCAUUGAGCGGGGUCAACAUCAGUUUUGAUCGCUGGAAAAGGGCAGGAGGAAGGUAGCACUCUCGGGUGAACUUAUAGCCUCUUGUCGUAUACAGUGAUUGGGACUGAGGAACGCAGCAUGCCUUUUGGCCGGGAUUCGUCCACGUACAUGCUUAGGAUGUUGACAUAAUGGCUUUAAACGACCCGUCUUGAAAC